UGUUCAUAGUUAGUAUAUGUAAGUCCACAAUCUCUAGCCUAAUGGUAGCAAAUAAAUGGCCCUUGUAACAAUGCGACAUCAUUCUCUUUCCCAACUUAAGACAAACAUGUUAAUCGUGUUCUCCCUGUCCUGCUGAAACCCCCAAAUCUCCAAGUGGCUACUACUAGCUAUCAGAAUUGUCAUAAGCAAUGAAACCUGAUACUGUUUAUGAUUUAAAAUACCACAGAAGCUGCAUGCAUGAGUGUGCUACCAUUGGCCAGGAAUCCUAAAUUUUAUCAUCUGUUGGUAAAAUCUUAGUAUGAAGUUAGGCACAAGGAUAUCACUUUCAGUAAUCUUAAAAAUUCCUCAUUUCUUCAGGAUAAGUAAUCUAUUGUUAAAAACUUUGAGAGAGUAAUGCUGUCCUCUAUCUCAAUAACUUUUUUAUAUUUCAGUUUUAUUAGGAAGUUCCUGGAGCACCUUAUAUUCAUCAUCUGAUGUAUUGGCUGUUCCUGACAAAAUCUGGAAAGUGUCUCCUUCAGGUUCAUUGAUCUAACAGUGGACCCAGUUCAGCAUUGCAACAUUGAGAAGGUGUUCCUGUGUACAGAAACAGAUGAAUGUGUCCCCAAAUAUUCCAGGACAUAAGUAUGGCUGUGUGGCUGACUUACCCUCCAUACUCUACAGGACCAAUAUCCUGAUAAAGCUCAUCCAGAGAUCCAAGUCAGAAAACUUGGCAAUGUGAAUUUUAAUACUCAGCCACAAGCCACAAGGAAGCACUUCCUUUAAGGGAAUGGCCAGGAUCUGAUGUUUUCAGCCAGUCCUCUGCUGCCCUCUUUCAGAUCAAUGGACUUCCCUUCUUCUGAGACGUAUGCCUCAGGUGAGAAACAACCCACCUGUAAGCAACUUUAACAGUAAUCAGGCCAUAACUCCAUUAUAUAGUUAUGGUGACUCCUCAGAAGUCCAAACUGUCGAAUGAAUUUUGAAGACCCUUCUCUGCCAAGUUGAGCUUGACCGUAUCUGGGAAGCCGAUCUGGUUGUCUGUACAUCAACAUGGGAAACUGCUUUUCUGACUUCAAACCAGAGUAACCAUUUAAAAAGCUUUCUUGUUAGGGACUCAUGCAGCUGGUGACUCUCGGUUGAAACUGGUGCUCACCGACCAUUCUGAAAAUCCUAGGGCCCUUUGGAAUAAUGUUAAAUGUACUCUGCCUGUGCUCUGUGCUCUAUAAGUGGAAGAACAAAGCCUGGAUGACAGUACAUCUGUUUACAACAUGGUUUACUGAAUACUGAUGAGACCUACUGCUCAGAAAAAAGUUCCUUUCAAAAUAUUACUACUUAUUUGACAAUGUUGAAUGCAUCUGGUCCACCCAAGAACUCUAACAGAGAUAGACAAGAUGCAUAUUAUUUUCAUGUCUAACACAGCAUCGAUUUUGCAGCCCAUGGAUCAAGGAGUUAUUUCGACUUUCAAGUCUUUUAAUUUAAGAAAUGCACUUCAUAAGGUUGGCAUAGUGAUUCCUCUUACUGAUCUGGGCAAAGUACACUGAAAACCUUCUGGAAAGAAUUCACCAUUUUAGAUGCCAUUGAAAACAUUCAUGAUUAAUGGGAAGGGGUCAAAGUAUCCACAUGAACAGGAGUUGGGAAGAAGGUGAUUAGAACCCUCUGGAAUAAUUUUUGAAGGGUGUCAAGACAUAAGUGGAAUCUAAAAAUGUGACUAAACUGCUGCCAUCUCCUAAUAAAAUCUCAACGGAUGAGGAGUCGCCUCUUAUGAACAAAGACAGUGGGGUUUCUUGAGACAAUCUAUCCCUGGUGAGGAUGCUGUGAAGACUUGAAAUGACAACAGACUUAGAAAUAUUCCAUAAACUUAGUUGAUGCACAGCAGCAGAGUUUAAGAUGGACUCUAAUUUUGAAAGAGGUUCUAAUGUGGAUAAAAUGCUAACAGCACUGCCUGCUAAUCUUUCAUUGGACGGAGAGUUGAUGUGGCAAACUUCAUUAUUAUAAGAAAUUGCCACAGCCAUCCUGACCUUGAACUACCACCGCCACCAACAUCAAAGCAAGACCCUCCACUAGCAAAAAGAUUACAACUUGCUGAAAGCUUAGAUGAUAGCAUUUUUAGCAACCACAUAUUAAGGCAUGUGCGUUGCUUUUUUAAACACAAUGCUAUUAUACUACAUUGUAAAUGUAUGCACUAGGAAACCAAAAUAGCCAUUUGACUCACUUUACUACAACAUUCACUUUAUUGCAGUGGUCUGGAACUGAAUCCCCAGUAUCUCUGAGGUAGGCCUGUAUACUGAAAUAGGUUACACUAUAUUUAUAAAAAGCUGCUCCUUCCUUGAAAAUGGUCUUUGGGAAUCAGGUCAACCAUGUUCUAUGAGCAAGUCCAUCAUUCCACACUUGAUUCAACCUCUUCAAAUCUUUUCAGCUUGAGACUGCCCACUGAAUUGGCCCACUAAAACACUAACAGAAGUGUUAAGGGCUGGCAGCUCCUUAGGAAAUUUUUAAAUAUUCCUUUUUUAAAAUGGUAGAACUAAACCCAUCUACCACUCUUUAGGACAUGCAGAUCUUUAAAAUUCUGUAUGUUUAUAAUUUUAUAUAUAAUCAUAUAUAUAUAUAAAAUCUUCAUAAUUAUUUUUGUAGUACUUAAAAAGUGUAAUUCUACUUGACAAAGAUUUGAAGCCACUAAAUUGGUAAGUCAAUUGGUGGGUAGAUACCAAAAACUAGUCAAUAUAUAUUGCUGUUUGUCUUCUAUCACACACAGUUUACUUCUUCCCAUCCCUAACCCAUUAGCACCAGAUGCUAUUAGGCUGUUUCUCUUCCUCUUGAAAACUGGUCUUUGGUGACUUUCAACAGUUACCUUUAGCCUUAUAUUUUUCUAAGUAUUUCUUCAAAAAUGAGGCUCCCACGCUUAAUGGUGACUUGUUUCAUGAAAAGAGCGAUCAUUCCUCAAAUUUUGUGUACAUAAGACCCAAAACUGUUUUCAGAACCCAAGGUUAAAAUGAGGUCAAUCUGGAGGGGAACACAAACUCAAAUUACAGCCUGUCUUAGACACUGAAUUUUGCUGGACACCAAUAGCAACAAUUCCACAUUUUGGAAAAGUGAGCAGUAUUAGUAAUACUUUAAAAAAUCAACACUGAAAAAUCUCCAUGUAUGGGCAGAUGACAAAUGAUAGGAAUUUUAGAAGAAAUCUAAAGGAAAGAGAUAAUGUCCUAAGGAAAAGUAAAAAUCAAAUGAGAAAAUUGAAGAAAUGGAAAGAAAAGACCACUUAAGGAUUAUAAAAGUUAUAUUUAUUCACGAUGCUACAUUUAUUGCAUUCCCUUAGAAAAAUGGAGAACUGUUUAUGUACCCAAUUUGCACAUAUAAAACUUUAUACAAAUUAUGUGUAGCACAUAAAGGCCUCUGGUACAGCUAAAAUCCUGACACUACAAUUUGGGUAAAUCCUGCUUCAGGGUCUCCAGUUUAUCAAGUCUGUUCAGAGAAAAUAAACACUGGUAUUAUACUCAAUCUUGCCAUUCACACUUAGAAAUUAUUUUAAAAUAUAAAAUUUUCACUCUAAAAACUCAAAAAAGGUAAACUGGAAGGGGACACACUUUGUUACCGAUUUCAAUUUAACAGUAUGACAAAUUCAUACCUUAUUUUGGCUGGGUCUUUUUAAAAAAAACUAUCACCUUAGUUUUGACAUUCUUUCUAAAUUGUGGCUGCUUCAAGAAGGUAGUAUGUCAAAACAUUUACCAAACAGUAAAAAUAAUAUUCCUUUUACAAAAUGG